rnacentral:tRNA from 1 species
GGGGAUAUAGCUCAGUUGGUAGAGUGCUUGCCUCCCAUGCACAAGGCCCUGGGUUCAAUCCCCAGUGCCACCA